AUCGGGAAUUGAAAUGAAGUUCAAAUAAGCAAAGAAAUUUCCCAACGUUCGCUUUCACGCAGAACAAGCAAAGACAUGACAGACAAAUGUACAUACUAUAUGUACAUAGUAUGUACUUGGACAUGUAGUUCAUCUAUAUAUGGUACAUGAGCAAUGUGUAUAUGUAUGUAUUGAUCGGUGUGAUAAGAUAAACAGCAAGAUAAUAAGUUUUACGCAUGGCGGAAAUUGAAAAUGCGAACUUUUCCUGCGGACCGAUAAGGUAAAGCGAAUGACUUCUACCUUCAAAGUUACUUGCGUCGAUGACUUACAUAAAUGAGAUAAGAAGACAAACCCUUACUAGACUACUUCACUUAGGAGAACACGGAUCUUGAUCGGACACCUUUAAGCAUCAAUUCCUACAGGGGCGUCUUUUCGUUCAGUAUUACGUACAUAUAUUUGGAAAUCGUACAUAGAUAUAGUGAACAUAUCCCGAAAUUGCAAAUGAAAAGCUUGCUCGGCAUUGUCAAGCAUAAGUUUAGAAAGGUUGUUUUCUCUUGCUAUUUGACGGUAGCCAUACUGAAUCUGAGGGACAAUUAAGUCUACAGUCCAUACCACGCAGUGUCGAUUCGGAGCCGUUAGCAACAACUCGAGCUGAAAGCUUGUGCAAGAACUGAAGCCGCUCGACCUACCCAAGCGACAUCACUUCGCUCUAUGGCCUUUAGAGAAGUUCCAAGAAGAUCCGACGUUUUCGAGCCAAAUUUUUUAUGGCGAUGAGGCCCAUUUCUGACUCUCUCGGCGACAUUUGGUUUCAACAAGACGGCGCCACUGCCCACAAAUCGCAUCAAGCAAUGGAUUUAUUGAGAGAAUUUACAACGAUCAAUGAAUUUAUUGAGAGAACACUUCGGUGAGCAGUUAAUUUCAUGUUUUCGAAAAAUGUAAGGGCUAAAGACUAUGCGGACAAUCCCGCUUCGUUAGAGGCCUUAAAGCAAAACAUUACGAGUGUCAUUCGCCAGUUACCUGUUGAAACGCUCGACUGAAUCAUCGAAAAUUGGACUCAAGGGAUGGACCAUCUGAGGCUGUAGCUGCGGCUAACAUUUGCAAGAGAUAAUCUUCAAAGAAUAAAUGCUAAAUAAUAUUAUUAUUUCGAAUAAUAAUUAACAUUCCCCAUUAAAUUUGAAGUUUCUGUACUUUUUCUUAAAAAAAAAAAUAGUUAACCUCGAAGUGGAUGACCCUUUAUAAGAGAUCGAUGAUCCAAUAAGUCAAAGUCGUCUUCUGAGCUGUCUGGGAUCUAACCUGUUUUGUAGUGAUUAAUUCGAACUCUGAGCGGCCGGUACAUUGGAAAUGAAGACGCUCAUCUGCUUUUGAAAGUCGUAGUGAACGUGGCGAGUUAUAUUGGACCCAACCAAUGAUGUGGUUUUAGUUGCAGCGGCAGAAGGAAGUUAAUAAAAGUCUCCAUAGCUUCGGCGGUUUGUAUGCUCAACGAGGGAGAAUUUAAUUGACGAACCAAUAGUCUAGUACGGAAACAAUGCCAGCACAAACUUAAUAUCAAGCUACGUGAGACGUUCGACUACACUGAUCUCUCAAAUAAUAUUUACUUAACUUCUUAUUUAUUUCCUACAUGUUUAUGACUGCAAAACUGUAGUCUUUCAUUGUUAGCAAAUUUUAUAGUUUUCCCUCUUAUUUGAUUAAAAAUAUAGCAAGACGUUCGUUUUUUUUUUGUUUAACUUUCUGCUCACGUUUUAUAUUUGAAUGUCUGCCACGUGAGUCUACAGUAUUCUAUUUUUAUUGUUUCAUUGUUUAUUUGAUACAACCCAGAAAACAGUUACAAAUAUUUAUUCGUUUUUCUAUUGACAAUGUUUUGUUGAUAGUUUGGACGAGCUUUUAUUUCUCUCGGAAGGUUUGGUUUUUUUUGCAUCUUUUUAUUGUCAGCUUUCGCAAAGUCUCGUAGUUAAUAAGCUUUGGGAAAAAUCUGCCAAGAUCGCUGCCUCCGAAGCUUUGAUUUAUCAGCAGAGGCUAGAGUAAGGGUUGAUUUUCUGAACUUAAGAGACUACUACCUCAAUACUUUCAAGUAGAACAGCAUCGUAAGCAUAGCAAGGGCUCGCAACGGGUUUUUUCUAGUCACUCUCUGAGCAACUGGACUUUGCUUAUAGUGUUUACUGGGCGUUGAGAGGCUUGUUAACAAUGACAAUCGAAAUAACUGUGACUGCUAUCACUUUGAACGAUCAGCCGGCGGCAGCACAUGCUAGGUUAUCAACACUUGGAACUAGAACGAAAUGAUUGUUUGUUGUUUCCACAUUUUAUAUGGUACAUAUCGUCACCUAAAAUGCAAAACAACGUAUAAUUAAAAAAAAUUAAAUUGAGUUUUUUAUUGCUAACAAUUCACUACAUCAUAUUACAUACAUAUAUGUAACAUAUGUAAUAUUUUCAGCUUCAGCUGUCAAUAUAUAAUCAAUAUAUAACCAAUAUGUAACCAAUAUAUAACCAAUAUGUAACUAAUAUGUAAUCAAUAUAUAACCAAUAUAUAAUCAAUAUGUAACCAAUAUGUAAUCAAUAUGUAACCAAUAUAUAACCACUUUAU